UACGUAGGGACCAAGCGUUGUCCGGAAUCAUUGGGCGUAAAGCGCGUGUAGGCGGCUCGAUAAGUCUGCUGUGAAAGUUCAGGGCUCAACCCUGAAAUGCCGGUGGAAACUGUCGAGCUAGAGUACGGAAGAGGUGAGUGGAAUUCCUGGUGUAGCGGUGAAAUGCGCAGAUAUCAGGAGGAACACCCAUGGCGAAGGCAGCUCACUGGGACGUUACUGACGCUGAGACGCGAAAGCGUGGGGAGCAAACAGG
rnacentral:rRNA from 1 species